rnacentral:rRNA from 1 species
UACGAAGGGGGGCGAGCGUUGUUCGGAAUCACUGGGCGUAAAGGGCGCGUAGGCGGCCCCUCUUAGUCGCGUGUGAAAGCCCCCGGGCUCAACCUGGGAACGGCGCGCGAAAACGGGAGGGCUGGAGUUCGGGAGAGGAGAGUGGAAUUCCCCAAGUGUAGAGGUGAAAUUCGUAGAUAUCGGAAGGAACACCUGUGGCGAAAGCGGCUCACUGGACCAUUACUGACGCUGAGGCACGGAAAGCUAGGGGAGCAAAACAGG